UUGUGGCUGUUCCUGAGUCACCGCAGUUCCAGUCCUGCCGUGCCUGCUCAGCGCCGUUCAAUGGAAGGCUGUUAGCAGCACUGAUGUUUGCACUGCUGCCAUAGGAGACAGCCUGGCAAGGGGAAAAAAAAAACCCAAACACCCCUAAUGAAGCCUAGGACAGCUGGAACAGUUUUUAACUAUCAGAAAAGAGCUCCAUCCUGCUCUGCGUGGUGAGGAUCAUGCGCUUACCAGGAACCGUCUUCAGAGCCCUUCCAAAAAAGGACAUUUCCAGCAUUGAUACUUCAAGAACGAGAGCCAACAAGUCAGACUCCAAGCCCUGGAAGGACCACAUGCCCUGCAGCUGCCCCUGCGACGGGAAAAGCUGAGUAUUCACGUGGAGUGCCAGUCACCUGCCUGGAGCACAAGCACCUUCUACACUCAUAUCCUAUAGCCUUUUUUUUUUUUUAAUGGUAGCCUGGCAUGUGGCCCCGGUGAGGCUCAGGAGGAGGAGCAUGUGGCUGUCCCAGAUAUCUGUGGUACCUGCCAUGGGUGUAAGCCCCUCUGCAGGACCUGCACCACCAGGCUGAGGACGUGGUCGCUUUUUGUGCCCCCAAACAUGCUCCGGUUUGACUCCAGUUGAACAGGGGUGGCCACAGAGCCGGCUGGAGGCGUCAGCCCCUUCCCCAGGGCCCUGUUCUCUUGGUGCCUGCCGCAAGAGCCGCCCCACAUUCUCCCCGGGGGCAUGGGGAGUGUCCGGCAGCUCCUCUGCGCUCCGGGUGGGAGAAAUCUCUGCUGUGGGCUGAAAGCACCCACAGCAGAUGCAGGGAGGGACAGCUUGCUGGCUGUGUCCAUCGUCCUUCAGGAGCGUCUGCAGACACAGUUACUCAUCCACACUGGUGCCAGCUCUGGAGACGGGCAAACCACCAUGUCGCCCUCCUCCUUUGCUGUUUCUCCAUGGGCACAGGACAGCCUGUGAACAACGGUAAAAGGACCUUUUGGAAAUUUAUUGCAAAACCCUGUGAUCACCAAUUUUAAAAAAAAAACACAAAAGCCAGAUUCAUUUAAUCGGCCUGUCUCUGCUCAUCCUGUCCUGCAAUUUAUAGACAGCAUAGAAACUUUACAGGAGUUACGAACUAGGUACCAAGCGAAGCACUAGGCUUUCAUCUGGAGCAUUACAGUUCUGCUCCUUGCUUUUAUCAGUUUGCUCAUUGGGCAAGAAAGCCUAGUGCAGAAGCUGAAUGUCUGUCUUUGAAAAAAUUAACAAUAUCUACUUAAUGCUGAAACAAUGCCUUAUGACUUGCUGUCAGGGCCUUCAGCUAGUUUGAGCUUAGCUUAUUCCAGACCAGGCUGCUUUAUAUGUCAUGGCGCAUGUCCUCAACUUCAGCCCGCUGUUGUACGCCUUAUCUGAAACCCUGCUCCUGGGAUUUGCAGUCAUUUGUUCAAAAUUAAA